AAGUCGUAACAAGGUUUCCGUAGGUGAACCUGCGGAAGGAUCAUUACCAAUUUUAGCGAACCUAACCUUUUGGGUCAUGGUCUCGCGAAAAAAAAACUGUAUUUAAAACCCCACUCUUUUAUAUAAUAAUAAAUGAAUCUAUUUAUAUAAAUAAUAAAUAAAGAUCACUUUCAACAACGGAUCUCUUGGCUCUC
rnacentral:misc_RNA from 1 species